CUACAUAGCUUCAGCAUUUAGGCAGCUCUCACCAAUCUUAUCUGAGCUCAGAUGUGAAGUAAGGUUGAGCUCAGUUUGUUCUUGGAUGGGAGACCACUUGGAAAUAUAACAUGCUAUAGGGU
rnacentral:rRNA from 1 species